rnacentral:lncRNA from 1 species
AUGGAGAGUUGUCUCAUUGGCCCUCAUACCACAUCUUCUUAUAUCCAAUUAUGUCAAUAGUUAUUUUAAGAAUUCGUUUUAAUAGCAGAUCAGUGAUUUUUUCUAUUACAUUCAUCUGCAAAUGUUACAGAAAUGGGAAGAUUUGGAGCUUAACAUCUGUGUAUUAUGUAUACAUCUGUCUAUAAUAAAAGCAUGUGAACCCAACAUCUUCUUCCGUGGAUUCAAAACAGAAAACUAAACGUUGAGCAUAACGAUCCCAACCGAAAACCAUAUUGCAAGUGUACUUCACAGUGGUCAACCAAUACAUGAUGGCGUAAUUAAUUUUUAGCCAUGGCGUUAUCAGUUUUGUUUUAUCUUUAAGUUUGAAUGUCCCUCUAGUAUCUUUCAUCCCU